UAGCUCAGUUGGUAGAGCAUGGCGCUUGCAAUGUCUGGGCUGUGGGUUCGAUUCCCAC
rnacentral:tRNA from 1 species